rnacentral:rRNA from 1 species
CCAAGGAGUUUAGCGUGUGCGCGAGUCAUUGGGUGUCAAAACCUAAAGGCGUAAUGAAAGUGAAGGGAACUCCGCUUUCCGAGGGAGGAUGGGUCGAGUCCCUUUAUACGGGCCGGCCUCGCACUCCCGGGGCGUCUCCAUCUCAUCGCGAGAGGAGGCGCACCCAGAGCGCACACGCUGAUACCCGAAAGAUGGUGAACUAUGCCUGGCCAGGACGAAGCCAGGGGAAACCCUGGUGGAGGUCCGCAGCGAUUCUGACGUGCAAAUCGAUCGUCGGAGCUGGGUUUAGGGGCGAAAGACCAAUCGAACCAUCUAGUAGCUGGUUCCCUCUGAAGUUUCCCUCAGGAUAGCUUGCGCUCGGACGAAACGAGUCUCAUCCGGUAGAGCGAAUGAUUAGAGGCCUUGGGGUCGAAACGACCUCAACCUAUUCUCAAACUCCAAAUAGAUGAGAACCCCGGCUUUCUUGAACAUUGUUUAUGAAGCCGGGGGCUUGGAUCAGAGUGCCAAGUGGGCCAAUUUU